UACUACCGAAGCUACGGCAUCAGUAAUGAUGGGUAGGGGAGCUUCCCAUACGGGUUGAAGCAUGACCGUAAGGACAUGUGGACAGUAUGGGAGUGAGAAUGUUGGCAUGAGUAGCGAGAUGUGGGUGGGAAUCCCACAGGCCGUAAACCCAAGGUUUCCAGGGGAAGGUUCGUCCGCCCUGGGUUAGUCGGGCCCUAAGCUUAGGCCGAAAGGCGUCGGUGAUGGACAACAGGUUGAUAUUCCUGUACUACCGAUAACCGGUUGAGAGCAGGGAUGACACCGUAGGAUAAGCUAAGCACCCUGUUGGUUAUGUGUGCCCAAGCAUUGGUCACUUAUAC
rnacentral:rRNA from 1 species